AUUGAACGCUGGCGGCAGGCCUAACACAUGCAAGUCGAGCGAGCGGCGGACGGGUGAGUAAUGUCUGGGAAACUGCCUGAUGGAGGGGGAUAACUACUGGAAACGGUGGCUAAUACCGCAUACCAUCGGAUGUGCCCAGAUGGGAUUAGCUAGUAGGUGGGGUAACGGCUCACCUAGGCGACGAUCCCUAGCUGGUCUGAGAGGAUGACCAGCCACACUGGAACUGAGACACGGCCCAGACUCCUACGGGAGGCAGCAGUGGGGAAUAUUGCACAAUGGGCGCAAGCCUGAUGCAGCCAUGCCGCGUGUAUGAAGAAGGCCUUAGGGUUGUAAAGUACUUUCAGUCGGGAGGCGUUACCCGCAGAAGAAGCACCGGCUAACUCCGUGCCAGCAGCCGCGGUAAUUC
rnacentral:rRNA from 1 species